UACGUAGGGGGCAAGCGUUGUCCGGAUUUAUUGGGCGUAAAGAGCGUGUAGGCGGCCAGGUAGGUCCGUUGUGAAAACUGGAGGCUUAACCUCCAGCUGUCGAUGGAAACCAUCUGGCUAGAGUCCGGAAGAGGAGAGUGGAAUUCCUGGUGUAGCGGUGAAAUGCGUAGAUAUCAAGAGGAACACCUGCGGCGAAGGCGGGUUGCUGGGCCGACACUGACGCUGAAGCGCGAAAGCCAGGGGAGCGAACGGG
rnacentral:rRNA from 1 species